rnacentral:rRNA from 1 species
AUGAGGCGACAUGACCUCGCGGAGGGUGAAGCGCUCGUUGAAGAUGAGGGCGAGCGCGAAGGCGGCGGCGACGAGGAAGAGGUGGCGGAAGGUGUCCUGGUCCCGGUCGUAGGUGCGGCGCACCUGCGGGUGGCGGCGCAUGUACCAGACGAUGGCGGCGGAGGUGGUGAUGAAGACGAUCUUCAUGACGGAGUUGUAGAGCGAGAUGUAGUCGGUGAAGAGGUCGAGGUAGCGCGCCACGAACACCGCCAGGUACAGCUCCUGCGUCUUCCUCGACACCCCUGCGGCGCGGCGCAGAUCCGUGAGCGACGGGCAAGGCGAGGCGAGGCGCCGGCCGAAACCCUAGCGACGCGCGGCUUACCUGAGCAUGACUUGUUGGCGUAG